AUGGCAGGAACAAGGAACCGCGGAGGGCACGGCGGGAAGCUGCCCGGGGAAGGCUCCCCCGCCGCGGGGCCGGGGCCCGGGGCCACAGGCUGGCGCGCACCCGCCCGGGACGGUCAUAGGCCGGGGCAGGAUCUCUGCAAAAUCCACCGGUGUUCGCGCCGCAAAGGCGGAACCCUGACACCGGGCCUCAGCUGCCGGGAAGCCAGUCCGCACGCCCAAGCCGCACGCCCUCGCACACACGGCACGGACCCCUGUUCCCCGGGAAGUCCACCAGGUUCCGGGAAGGGUCACCAGAACCCACCUACUAUCCCGCUGACCACGCUGAGACGUGGUUUCGAUCAGCCUCUCUUUCGGGUCAGGAGCGCGAGCACGCGCGAGCGCACACGCACGGCACACGGACACCCGCGACGGGGCGCCCCCGCACGCCCAGAACACCGAGGCCCGUCACCGUCCUCCACGCGGAAAACCCACAGAAAUUUCAAAGAUGUAAAGACACGCUGCGGGGCACAGAACAUUCUGGCAUCUCGUCACCUCCACCAUCCUGACGAGGGGUGCUCCCCACAGAGGCGCGUGGCGAAGCCAGCAGCAGGACGCCCUCGGAGCCAUCACCCAGGGGUCGCGCACACGGCGGGCCGGCCGGGCAUGGUGUCCACGCACACCCAGCGCGGGCCUCCUGCUGGGGCCAGGCCCCGGGAACACCGACCUGGAGCGGAGCGGUGGAGGCCGGGCUGCGGAACCGGUCCCGCUCGGCCCCGAGGCUCACGCAGGAGGCCCUUCCUCGUCCUCGGGCCCCACAGAUGCGCGGGGGCACCGUCUCCACGUCCACAGGCCUCAGGACCCAGGGCACAAACCCCUCCUGGGCCUGCGGAGCUGCCGUCCGAGGCCCAGGAAGCCAGGAGACCCGUGCGUCUGUGGGUGGUUCUCAGGGUCCCCCCGAGAGGUGCGUCUUCUCCCCCAGCCGGCUCCCAGGGUCUGACAGUACUCUCCUCCCCAGACACCUUCUUGCUCCCACCUUCGAGAACCCCAACCAUGGUGACGCCACGCUGA
rnacentral:lncRNA from 1 species